rnacentral:rRNA from 1 species
CAUGCUUUACACAUGCAAGUCGAACGGCAGCACGGGCUUCGGCCUGGUGGCGAGUGGCGAACGGGUGAGUAAUAUAUCGGAACGUACCCAAGAGUGGGGGAUAACGUAGCGAAAGUUACGCUAAUACCGCAUACGAUCUAAGGAUGAAAGUGGGGGAUCGCAAGACCUYRUGCUCCUGGAGCGGCCGAUAUCUGAUUAGCUAGUUGGUGAGGUAAAGGCUCACCAAGGCGACGAUCAGUAGCUGGUCUGAGAGGACGACCAGCCACACUGGAACUGAGACACGGUCCAGACUCCUACGGGAGGCAGCAGUGGGGAAUUUUGGACAAUGGGCGCAAGCCUGAUCCAGCAAUGCCGCGUGAGUGAAGAAGGCCUUCGGGUUGUAAAGCUCUUUUGUCAGGGAAGAAACGGUAGAGGCUAAUAUCCUUUGCUAAUGACGGUACCUGAAGAAUAAGCACCGGCUAACUACGUGCCAGCAGCCGCGGUAAUACGUAGGGUGCAAGCGUUAAUCGGAAUUACUGGGCGUAAAGCGUGCGCAGGCGGUUUUGUAAGUCUGUCGUGAAAGCCCCGGGCUCAACCUGGGAAUUGCGAUGGAGACUGCAAGGCUUGAAUCUGGCAGAGGGGGGUAGAAUUCCACGUGUAGCAGUGAAAUGCGUAGAGAUGUGGAGGAACACCGAUGGCGAAGGCAGCCCCCUGGGUCAAGAUUGACGCUCAUGCACGAAAGCGUGGGGAGCAAACAGGAUUAGAUACCCUGGUAGUCCACGCCCUAAACGAUGUCUACUAGUUGUCGGGUUUUAAUUAACUUGGUAACGCAGCUAACGCGUGAAGUAGACCGCCUGGGGAGUACGGUCGCAAGAUUAAAACUCAAAGGAAUUGACGGGGACCCGCACAAGCGGUGGAUGAUGUGGAUUAAUUCGAUGCAAC